rnacentral:rRNA from 1 species
UACGUAGGAGGCGAGCGUUGUCCGGAUUUACUGGGCGUAAAGCGCGCGCAGGCGGCACAUCAAGUAAGGUGUGAAAUCUCCCUGCUCAACGGGGAGGGUGCACUUUAGACUGAUGAGCUAGAGGACGGUAGAGGGGGGUAGAAUUGCUGGUGUAGCGGUGAAAUGCGUAGAGAUCAGCAGGAAUACCCGUGGCGAAGGCGGCCCCCUGGGCCGAUACUGACGCUGAGGAGCGAAAGCGUGGGGAGCGAACAGG